AUCCAGCUGACGAAUCCCAAAUAGGAAGACACGUGCGUCCUGGAU
rfam:Schistosoma mattheei strain Denwood, Zambia genome assembly, scaffold: SMTD_scaffold0000119